GGAUCGAAAGAGUCCACCGGAUGAGAGCGGAAGUGUUGGACAAGGGACGCCGCACGCGGACGCUGCUCAGGGCUCGCAAACACGCGAGUGAACGGAGUGGCUGCUGGUUCACUCACUGCCCGGGAAGGUGGAUCAGUGAAGCUAUACUGACUGGGAGAACGGGGGAGUCGACUCGCCCUUCCACAAACUUAAGUAUCCGGUACCCCAGUCUCCCCUGCCCCGACAAACCUUGGUCUCAACCUAGACCUCCGUUGCCAUUCCUUACAGGAACCAGGCAUGUCUGGUGGUUGCUGGAGGAGGUGAAGCCGGCCACAGGGGUGUAGACAGUGCAGUUCAGGAGGAAUAAAGGGACAAUAAGGAGCCA
rnacentral:lncRNA from 1 species